GAGUCCUUGGUUUUGCCUCAGUAUCUGGUGCUGUGUUAGUCAGCCCUGAGGUUUGGAAUGCUGUGAUUUUGUUCCUGGCUUCCCUGGGAGCCCCCCUCUUGCUGUGUUGUCUAGAAGUAGUGAGAGCAGGAAUCCUUGACUUGUUUUUCUGUCAUGGAGACAGGGUUUUGUUCUUCAGUGUUCCAGUGUGUCAUGAUAAGAUUAGGGCUUUAGCCCUUCUGACCCUUAGAUUUAUCAUUUCUGGGUGUCUGUGGACUACUCCCCAUGCUUUAUUAUGAAAUGCACAGUGACAUGUUUUGCACUACAUGCUCUGGACACUCUACUGUUCUGGAGAGCAGUCCUGCUGGCCCCUCCUGAGAGUAUUUUAGUACCUGAUACACAGUCUGCUCUUCCAGUCCUGCCCUGUCCCUUCUCCUCUCUCUUCCUUGCUUCUGGUGACUACUCUUGUACUUUCUGUGAACUCAACUUGUAGCUUCUCUGAGUGAGUUUGUACACACAGAUGUCUCUUUGUGCCUGGAUUGUUCCACUCAGUGUGGUGUCCAUAGUUUCAGUCUCAUUGCUGCAAACCAUAGGACUGAAAGCCAUUUGGUGAAAUCAAGUUCAUCUAUUCUUUCAUGAAUCACAUGGAUGGAACAAUAUCCCCCAAACCAUUCCCAAAUCCAUUGUUGUGAGAUUGUGCUCUAGUGUUGUGAGAUUGUGCUCUGCAUUGUCUUCUAAGAAUGGGUGAGGUUCACCUCUUCAGGGCUUUGGUCCAUGUGGAUUUCAUGUAGGCAUGUGCCGUGAGGGGAGGGUCUGACUUCAUGCAUCGACAUGAACACACAGUUUCCCAGCCAUUCAUUUUCUUGAAUUUUUUGUUUGCUGUGCAACAUUUUUUUCUUCUUUUUCUGCAUGGGUCAGCAGUGUCCUGGUCCCCCAUUUUCCCCUAUUGUUGUAUAUGUCUGCCUUUAAACCAGUGCUACUCUGUCUUUGUUAGUAUACUUGGAGGAGGUUUUGAAAGCUGGAAAUGUGGUGCUCUGCAGUUUAUUUUUUUUUCUUCUGUUGUUAAUUUUCUUGUGUUUCCAUGUGAACAUUAGAAUGAUACUUCUUACUUUUAUGUAAAAAAUGUCAUUGUUAUUUAGAAAGUGAUUGAACUGACUUCAUGGUUAAUUUUUGUGUAGA
rnacentral:lncRNA from 1 species